rnacentral:lncRNA from 1 species
CUCUAUUUCCCCCAACCUUCCUCAUUGUAUGCUCCUCUACCAUCUCAGACUACCCAUUACCCCCUCUUAUCCUCAAAACCCUAACCCCUCUUCCUCUCUUUCCCCCAACCUCCCUCAUUAUAUGCUAAUCCACCAUCUCAAACUACCCAUUAUCCCUCUUAUCCUCAAAACCCUAACCCCUCUUCCUCUCUUUCCCCUACCUACCUCAUUGUGUGUCGUCUUCUGGAUACUAUGUGGACUAGAACUGGGUUGCCAGAGAGGCUCUUAGGAAAAUUUGGUUGACCCAAUUCUCUGUAAGUGCUUGUUUCUUCUAAGUAUUUGCCUAAAGUUGAUUUUGUUGGAGGAAAAGGUGGGUUUGGAUAAUGUCUAUGGACGAGUUUGAUUCCUUUUGUAUCUGGGACUGGUUUAUGCUCUUUUUUGGUUGCAAGUGUAGAGGGUGGAGCGUAAAAUGACGUGUUCCAAGUAAAACUGUACAGGUGUACCACUUUGUGUGGCAAGUCAUCACUUACUUAACGUCGUUGAAAACAAUCCAUUAGAAAGGACCAUAUUGAAUCAUUUUAAAAAAAGUUGGGAGCACAUUGAAAAUUUUAAAAACAUAGGGACGAAAUUGACUUGUGCUCCUUAAUAUAAGAACUAAAAGAGUAAUUAAGCCCCUAUAGAAUAAGGUUUGAGGAAGGUGAUUCAGGACUAAUUAUGACGGGUGCAUCCAAUAGUAUGAGGAAAAGAUAGAAAAGUACAAAUCUAGUUAUUCUAGAGCCUAGUAUGUCAGAAGGAUUCUGAUUCCAGUUCACACAUCCUCUUCCUCUUUAUUUCUCCAUAUUAAGUGACUUGCAUGCAUGCAUUCCCAACCGUACUAUCAAAAUAGUCUUCUUAGUUCUUCCUCCAGUGUCUUAAUUGGCUGUAUUGCUGAUAUGAUUCCCAAAUAGAACUAACAAUGGAAAUAGGAAUUUAGGGUUACGGAACGGAAUCAAUUAAAAAUAGUAUUAAUGAAAACUUGGAUAGAAGAAGGCGCCACAAACAAAGUUUGAUAAGCCUAAGGAUGAUUGCCACAAGAAUUGGUGGAUUCUUGAUAAGAUCGCAAGAUGCAAGGAAAAAAUCUAGCAGAGAAAUAUUCUCUCUUAAAUUGCCAAAAUAUUCAUUAUCAUUCUGAUUUCCAAAAAAUAUAUAAAUACAAAUUUAGUUAUAGGUCUUGUCUCGUUUGUAAGUAAAUAAAAAAUGAAAAUACAAUCCUUAUACUUUAAGAAGGAUCAUUUGUCCCAGUGGUUAAGUAGAUACUUUCUAACUCUUCUGAGUUCAAAAUCCUACUUGAAGUAAAAUAAUAAUAUUAUUUUAGUUUAAUACUCCAAACAUGUUGUGCACGUAAUCAACAUAGUCUUCUUAUAUUGUGAGCAAUUCAACAAUUGGGCCUCCAAAAGAUUAGCGGAAUCCUUUGAAAUGCCCUUGCUAGUCAGUCAAGUUUCCACGUGAAUUUUCACAUGUUUAUUUCAAUAAAAGUAGGUGUGCAAAAUAAUCCCUAUGCAAGACUGCAAUCCCAACCAGGUUGCACCUCAACCUGUAUUUGCAACACACCAAAGUAUCAAAGAAAUAAAGCAAACAAAACCAAACUGGAUAAAACAUUAGAAAUUGUAGUUUGAUAGACCAAAAUGUUCUCUAAAAUUAUCUUGCCUAACAUAACAUGGAUCUCAAAUGCAACAAGUCUACAAGCACAACUAUUUCCCUUUCUGAAAAUUUGUGAAGCCCUACAAUACACAUGGUUGAUUGGCUCAAGACAAAUUUUCCACCUGUUUCUUAAUUUCCAAGGAACCAAAGAUAUAUCUGAAAAUGCUUUAACUAUCAAUAGAAAAUCACAUUCCAGCCAAAAUUGAAAUCACCCUCUGUUAUAAGAAACUUCAAUGGCUUAAAUUGCACCCUUAAUUUCAGCAUUAAAAGGUAUCCUUAUCACCAAGUGGAGCAGCAAAGCAUACCAAAGAAGUCGCCAAAUUAUUUCUAGAAUUUCCUGCCCAAGCAGCUGCCCCAUUAGUGUUACAUUUAUUAUUAAUUGAAGGUCUUCAGCUGACCUAAAUAACCUUGAUGAAUUUCCUAGGAUGUACAAUACAACAAAAUCUUUGAUUGACUACACAUGGAAACAAACUACUGUAUACUCUUUCGCUUUUGAAAGAUCAUCAGUUGGUAGUUUGUUACAUACCAACCUCCAUACAGUAAUCAUAUAUGGAAUUUUCCUGGUCUUUUGAUACAAAACCAUUUUGAGCUGGUUGUUGAGGUUAGUAGAAUUUUUAUUCCCUUUGGUGAAGGCCAAGACUGUAUGACAUGGGAAAACACCACGGAGGGUAUGCUCUUAUUGUGACAUUCAUACAAGUACAUAAAAAACAAUGGAUAGAUCAUGGCUUGGACUAAACACAUACGCUCUCAAUGUGACAAUUAUUCUCUGAAUGGAGGUUGGUAAGUAACAAACAGCCAACCGAGGAUCUUUUGCACGGUAUAGUUAGUAUGAAGAAAUUGUUAAACAUAUAUUUUUUUCACUGCUCUUUUUCUGCCUUAUUGUAGAAUUGGCUUUGCCAAUUUAUCAAGAUUCCUAUUGAUCACUCUUCUCUCUUGGAUCUAUUUGGUCUGUUAUAAAUUGAAGAUGGAGUGAUGAGAUCAGG